rnacentral:rRNA from 1 species
AAACCAGCACCUCAAGUGGUCAGGAUGAUUAUUGGGCCUAAAGCAUCCGUAGCCUGUUCUAUAAGUUUCCGGUUAAAUCCAUUAGCUCAACUAAUGGGCUGCCGAAAAUACUGUAGAACUAGGGAGUGGGAGAGGUAGACGGUAUUCGGUAGGAAGGGGUAAAAUCCUUUGAUCUAUUGAGGACCACCUGUGGCGAAGGCGGUCUACCAGAACACGUUCGACGGUGAGGGAUGAAAGCUGGGGGAGCAAACCGGAUUAGAAACCCGGGUAGUCC